GACGAACGCUGGCGGCGUGCCUAAUACAUGCAAGUCGAACGAGAGCGACCGGUGCUUGCACUGGUCAAUCUAGUGGCGAACGGGUGAGUAACACGUGGGUAACCUGCCCAUCAGAGGGGGAUAACAUCCGGAAACGGAUGCUAAAACCGCAUAGGUCUUCGAGCCGCAUGGCUUGAAGAGGAAAAGAGGCGCAAGCUUCUGCUGAUGGAUGGACCCGCGGUGCAUUAGCUAGUUGGUGGGGUAACGGCUCACCAAGGCGGUGAUGCAUAGCCGACCUGAGAGGGUGAUCGGCGACAUUGGGACUGAGCCACGGCCCAAACUCCUACGGGAGGCAGCAGUAGGGAAUCUUCCGCAAUGGACGCAAGUCUGACGGAGCAACGCCGCGUGAGUGAAGAAGGUUUUCGGAUCGUAAAACUCUGUUGUUAGAGAAGAACAAGUGCUAGAGUAACUGUUAGCGCCUUGACGGUAUCUAACCAGAAAGCCACGGCUAACUACGUG
rnacentral:rRNA from 1 species